UUCCGGUUGAUCCCGCCGGAGGUCACUGCUAUUGGGAUUCGACUAAGCCAUGCGAGUCGAGAGGGUUCGGCCCUCGGCUGACGGCUCAGUAACACGUGGAUAAUCUGCCCUUAGGUGGAGGAUAAUCUCGGGAAACUGAGGAUAAUACUCCAUAGAUCUAGGAUGCUGGAAUGCAUCUAGGUUGAAAGCUCCGGCGCCUAAGGAUGAGUCUGCGGACUAUCAGGUUGUAGUCAGGGUAAAGACCUGACUAGCCUACGACGGAUACGGGUUGUGAGAGCAAUAACCCGGAGACGAUAUCUGAGACACGAUAUCGGGCCCUACGGGGCGCAGCAGGCGCGAAAACUUCACACUGUGCGAAAGCGCGAUGAGGGAAUCCCAAGUGUUUGCUCGUAAGAGUAAACUGUUUCUUUGUUUAAAACGCAGAGAGAGUAAGGGCUGGGUAAGACGGGUGCCAGCCGCCGCGGUAAUACCUGCAGCUCAAGUGGUGAUCAUUAUUAUUGGGCCUAAAACGUCCGUAGCCUGUUUAGUAAAUGCCUGGGUAAAUCGUGUAGCUUAACUAUACGACUUCCGGGUAGACUACUAAACUUGAGACCGGGAGAGGCUAGAGGUACUCCUGGGGUAGAGGUGAAAUUCUGUAAUCCUAGGGGGACCACCAGUGGCGAAGGCGUCUAGCUAGAACGGGUCUGACGGUGAGGGACGAAGCCCUGGGGCACAAACCGGAUUAGAUACCCGGGUAGUCCAGGGUGUAAACGCUGCUUGCUUGAUGUUAGUUGGGCUCCGAGCCCAACUAGUGUCGGAGAGAAGUUGUUAAGCAAGCUGCCUGGGAAGUACAGUCGCAAGGCUGAAACUUAAAGGAAUUGGCGGGGGAGCACAGCAACGGGUGGAGCGUGCGGUUUAAUUGGAUUCAACGCCGGG
rnacentral:rRNA from 1 species